rnacentral:rRNA from 1 species
UAGGGAAUCUUCCGCAAUGGACGAAAGUCUGACGGAGCAACGCCGCGUGAGUGAAGAAGGAUUUCGGUUCGUAAAACUCUGUUGUUAGGGAAGAAAAAAUGUAUAGUAACUAUAUACAAAAGAGACGGUACCUAACCAGAAAGCCACGGCUAACUACGUGCCAGCAGCCGCGGUAAUACGUAGGUGGCAAGCGUUGUCCGGAAUUAUUGGGCGUAAAGCGCGCGCAGGUGGUUUAGAAAGUCUGAUGUGAAAGCCCACGGCUCAACCGUGGGGGGUCAUUGGAAACUAAUAAACUUGAGUGCAGGAGAGAAAAGUGGAAUUCCUAGUGUAGCGGUGAAAUGCGUAGAGAUUAGGAGGAACCCCGGUGGCGAAAGCGGCUUUUUGGCCUGCAACUGACACUGAGGCGCGAAAGCGUGGGGAGCAAACAGG